AGGAAGCCCUUAAACCCUUAUCUAGGACAAGGAGCCGGUAUCAGGCUCAAACUACUGCCCAUGACACCUAGUCUSACSACACCCCCAMGGGUAYUSRSCAGUGAUAAACAUUAUUUAUAAGCGACAGCUUGACUCAGUUAAAGAGAAGAAAGUCGGCCAACUCGGUGCCAGCCGCCGCGGCUAUACCCCAUGGACUUAGAUUGAUAAUCAUCGGCGUUAASCGUGAUUAAAGUAUACUAAAAAUUAGAGUAAAACCCUUUGCCCAGCUGUGAAAAGCAUGCACUGUUGAAUAUCAUGAACGAAAGUCACUCUAACCUCCCCACUUGAACACACUAUAGCUAGGAGCACAAACUGG
rnacentral:rRNA from 1 species